rnacentral:rRNA from 1 species
CAAUAGCGUAUAUUAAAGUUGUUGCGGUUAAAAAGCUCGUAGUUGGAUUUCUGUCGGUGAAUAUCAGUCCGCCCACAGCGGUAGGUACGUGAUAUUUCACCGGCAUCUUCCUGGGGAAUGUGUCUGCUCUUUAUUGAGUGGUACAUAAGCCAGGACUUUUACUUUGAAAAAAUACAGAGUGUUUAAAGCAGGCCAAGAUUGCUCUUGCAUGGAUUAGCAUGGGAUAAUGAAAUAGGACUUUGGUGCUAUUUUGUUGGUUUCGAACACCGAAGUAAUGAUUAAUAGGGAUAGUCAGGGGCACUCGUAUUCCGUCGAGAGAGGUGAAAUUCUCAGACCAAUGGAAGACGAACUACUGCGAAAGCAUUUGCCAGGGAUGUUUUCACUGAUCAAGAACGAAAGUUAGGGGAUCGAAGACGAUUAGAUACCAU